rnacentral:rRNA from 1 species
UCCUGGCUCAGAACGAACGCUGGCGGCAGGCCUAACACAUGCAAGUCGAACGCCCCGCAAGGGGAGUGGCGCACGGGUGAGUAACACGUGGGAACCUACCUUCUGGUACGGAACAACCAAGGGAAACUUUGGCUAAUACCGUAUACGACCUCCGGGUGAAAGAUUUAUCGCCGGAAGAGGGGCCCGCGUCCGAUUAGGUAGUUGGUGGGGUAACGGCCUACCAAGCCGACGAUCGGUAGCUGGUCUGAGAGGAUGACCAGCCACACUGGGACUGAGGCACGGCCCAGACUCCUACGGGAGGCAGCAGUGGGGAAUAUUGGACAAUGGGCGAAAGCCUGAUCCAGCCAUGCCGCGUGAGUGAUGAAGGCCUUCGGGUUGUAAAGCUCUUUCACCCACGACGAUGAUGACGGUAGUG